GUGCCAGCCGCCGCGGUAAGACGAACCGUGCGAACGUUGUUCGGAAUCACUGGGCUUAAAGGGCGCGUAGGCGGGCCUUCAAGUCCGGGGUGAAAUCCUCCCGCCCAACGGGAGAAGAGCCUCGGAGACUGAGGGCCUCGAGGGAGGUAGGGGCAAGCGGAACUAUGGGUGGAGCGGUGAAAUGCAUUGAUAUCCAUAGGAACUCCGGUGGCGAAGGCGGCUUGCUGGACCUCUUCUGACGCUGAGGCGCGAAAGCCAGGGGAGCAAACGGGAUUAGAAACCCGCGUAGUCC
rnacentral:rRNA from 1 species